rnacentral:rRNA from 1 species
AGAGUUUGAUCCUGGCUCAGAACAAACGCUGGCGGCGUGCCUAAUACAUGCAAGUCGAACGGGGAAAGUAGCAAUAUGAGUACUAGUGGCGCACGGGUGAGUAACGCGUGGAUAAUCUGCCUUAGAGUGGGGGAUAACGAGUCGAAAGAUUCGCUAAUACCGCAUAAGACCACAAGAACUGCGGUUCAAGGGGUCAAAGG